UCCCUGGUGGUCCAGUGGAUAAGACUCUGUGCUCCUAAUGCAGGGAGCCCGGGUUCGAUCCCUGGUUGGGGAA